UCUUCAUUUCACACACUCUCUCAUCGGUCAGAAAGAGACGAGAGAGUGUGCGGAAUGAAGAGA
rfam:Pristionchus pacificus strain PS312 contig6330, whole genome shotgun sequence.